CCCUUAGAUGUUCUGGGCUGCACGCGCGCUACACUGAUGCACUCAACGAGUUUACGACCUUGCCCGAUAGGGUUGGGUAAUCUUUUUAAAAUGCAUCGUGAUGGGGAUAGAUUAUUGCAAUUAUUAAUCUUCAACGAGGAAUUCCUAGUAAGCGCGAGUCAUCAGCUCGUGUUGAUUACGUCCCUGCCCUUUGUACACACCGCCCGUCGCUACUACCGAUUGAAUGGUUUAGUGAGGCCUUCGGAUCCGCGACUCGUUUGUGGAGAAGUUGGACAAACUCAGUCAUUUAGAGGAAGUAAAAGUCGUAACA
rnacentral:rRNA from 1 species